rnacentral:rRNA from 1 species
AACAAACGCCGGCGGCGUGUCUUAAGCAUGCAAGUCGAGCGGCAAGGGCAGCAAUGCCCCUAGAGCGGCGGACUGGUGAGUAACGCGUGGGUGAUCUACCUUGGGCAUGGGGAUAGCCAUUAGAAAUAGUGGGUAAUACCGAAUACGAUCACGCUGCCGCAUGGCGGUGUGAUGAAAGAUGGCCUCUAUUUAUAAGCUAUCGCUGAAGGAUGGGCCUGCGUCUGAUUAGCUAGUUGGUGGGGUAACGGCCUACCAAGGCGAUGAUCAGUAGCCGGUCUGAGAGGAUGAACGGCCACAUUGGGACUGAGACACGGCCCAAACUCCUACGGGAGGCAGCAGUGGGGAAUAUUCCGCAUGGACGAAAGUCUGACGGAGCAACGCCGCGUGAGUGAUGAAGGUUUUCGGACUGUAAAACUCUGUUGUUUAGGACGAAAGUGCCUGUUGCAAACAGUUGCAGGUAUUGACGGUACUGAACGAGGAAGCCACGGCUAACUACGUGCCAGCCGCCGCGGUAACAC